UUGCCAAAUAAGUUGAUGGGUGAUUUAUAGUAGUCAAUGAGGUGAGUGGGAAGUUAAUACAUUCGUGAUGGGUAAUGAAGGGUUUAAGUGAGGGAUUAAUUGGAUUAAACAUGUGUUGAUUGUGGAGAGUUAGUGGAAAAGAAAUAACGGUGAGGUAGUGGGCGUUAAAUGGCUAUGAAUGACAUGAAAUAGACUAUUUAGCUUCAACGGUUUUGUCUUCUCUUCUCCGUCUUUACUUCUCUUUAUAAUCACAAUAAUCCCACAAUCAAUUCUUCAAUAAAAUCCACCAGCAAUUCUCUUCACACUUGGCUUGAACUUGGACAAAUGUAUGUCUUCAUCUUUUGGCUUUUCAACUUCCUACAAAAGAUAAAUUCACCAGAUUAAAACAAAGAAUUCAUAAAUCCAGUUGGUGAGAAUAAAAUGUAACAACAAGUGAAAUUAUAAUUAAGCCAAAAUU
rnacentral:lncRNA from 1 species